AAAAAAAAUUAUGUUUCCUUUCCCUCUGCGUGUUCUCUUCUUCCUCCCCUCUCUGUCUACUAAUCUUCUUCUUUCCUCCCUCUCUUCUUUCUCUUCCUCCCUUCACCCUUCCACCUCACUUCUGUCCCUCUUCUAAAAUUGCCAUUACAUUUGCACAAAAACAAAACUCUCCGACAGUAGUGCAGAGUUCUCUCAAGGUCUGAAGUUGAUAGAUAAAGACUCAAAUAAUCCCAUCAAUCUGCAGGAUCCCAGCACAACACCUUCCUCCCCAUGCUUGCACC
rnacentral:lncRNA from 1 species